rnacentral:rRNA from 1 species
GAUGAACGCUAGCGGCAGGCUUAAUACAUGCAAGUCGAGGGGUAGCAAGAUUGUAGCAAUACAAUUGUUGACGACCGGCAAACGGGUGCGGAACACGUACACAACCUUCCUACAAGUGGGGAAUAGCCCAGAGAAAUUUGGAUUAAUACCCCGUAACAUAGCGAUGUGGCAUCGCAUUGCUAUUAUAGCUUCGGCGCUUGUUGAUGGGUGUGCGGCUGAUUAGAUAGUUGGCGGGGUAACGGCCCACCAAGUCUACGAUCAGUAGCUGAUGUGAGAGCAUGAUCAGCCACACAGGCACUGAGACACGGGCCCGACUCCUACGGGAGGCAGCAGUAAGGAAUAUUGGACAAUGGACGCAAGUCUGAUCCAGCCAUGCCGCGUGAAGGAUUAAGGUCCUCUAGAUUGUAAACUUCUUUUAUAAGGGACGAAAAAAGGUCUUUCUAGAUCGUCUGACGGUACCUUAUGAAUAAGCACCGGCUAACUCCGUGCCAGCAGCCGCGGUAAAAC